GAUAAUAUAUAUUAAUUUACGAAGGAUCUUGAGCUAACUAAUAAAAUAUACUAGUAUUAGAAUUAUAUGUUGCAAUAUAUAAACAAUAUUAUUGGUUAGGAGUGAUAGGCUUAUCAAAAUAUCCGAUAUCUUAAUGUUUAGGAAAAAUAUUAAGUAUUAAAGCAAUUUUGAAGUGGUGAGAUUUCAAAAGUUUACUAAUAUAAUUAAUUACAACAUAAAAUGCCUAACGGUAAUUAUUUUAACUAAUAGUUUAUUUAACAUUAAAAUUUGUAUUAUAUACUAAACUGUGCUUUUAAUAGUGUGAGUUAUUAUUACUGUUAAUAUUAGUAUUAUAAUAAUAAUACCAUUGAAGGAACUCGGCAAAUUAUUACUCGACUGUUUAUCAAAAACAUAGCUAGGUGUAUAUAUACUUAGUUACUUCUGCUCACUGGUAAUCUAAAUAGCCGCAGUACUCUGACUGUGCAAAGGUAGCAUAAUCAUUUGGCUUAUAAUUGAAGUCUGGCAUGAAAGAAACUACGGGUAAUUACUGUCUCCCUUGGUCACCUUGAACUUCCUUAAAGGGUGAAAAUGCCCUUUGAUAAAUAAUAGACGAGAAGACCCUAGAAAUUUUUUAUACCAUAGAUAAUCUUAUUUCUAUUUUGUUGGGGCGACAGAAUAACAUUUAACUUGUUUUAUUUAAUAUGAACUAUAUAUUGAGCAAAAAUAAAUUACUCUAGGGAUAACAGCAUAAUUUGAUAAAGUUUGUGACCUCGAUGUUGGACUAGGGAUUUCAUUAACCAGCAGUUAAUGAAACAGGCUCUGUUCGAGCAAUUAUUCCCUACAUGAUCUGAGUUCAGACCGGC
rnacentral:rRNA from 1 species